UGGAAAAUCCAAUCAAAUCGAAUCUUCAAAAUUUCUUCAAAAGAAAAUUCGAUUUAACUUCUAAAACCAAGAAGCAAAACAGAGAGAUGGGGGUGACAAAAGAGCAAGUGGAAUCUACUUUGACUUCUAAACUCAACCCUUCUUAUUUUAUUUGAAACGGUAUCAGUUGUAAGAAUGCGUGUUGUUGUAAUUCUGCAUCAAUCUGCAUUCUGCAAGCUUCUUUGAGUAUAAAUGCUGGAAGUUCAAGGUUUUUUUCAGAGGAUAAUUCCACUGAUAUGCCUUUAAAUUUGGCUAAAAUUCGGAUAAGUUUGUAUUAUUUAGUUUCUUCUUGUGGUUGCUUACGAAAGUUAAGGGACUGGAGAGUUUUAAAGGAGGUUCUUGAUGAACUUUGGGGAAAAUAGAUUUCUGCUUGAUUAAUGAAAUGUUAAAGGCCAUUCAUAGGCUUUGCUUGUUCUUAACAUUCCAAAUGGGUAACCCCUUUGGUCGGUCUUAUUGAGACAUCCUGUUUUGAACAUAUGUAUGGGAAGUAUCAUCUUGCUGAAUUUUUCUUGUCAUUGCAUUAAUAGACAAAGAAGAAUUCAAGAAAUUGUGG